rnacentral:rRNA from 1 species
GAUGAACGCUGGCGGCGUGCUUAACACAUGCAAGUCGAACGGUGAACGAGGGAGCUUGCUCCCUCCGGAUCAGUGGCGAACGGGUGAGUAACACGUGAGCAAUCUGCCCUGGACUCUGGGAUAAGCGUUGGAAACGACGUCUAAUACCGGAUACGAGACGUGAAGGCAUCUUCAACGUCUGGAAAGAACUUCGGUCCAGGAUGAGCUCGCGGCCUAUCAGGUAGUUGGUGAGGUAAUGGCUCACCAAGCCUACGACGGGUAGCCGGCCUGAGAGGGUGACCGGCCACACUGGGACUGAGACACGGCCCAGACUCCUACGGGAGGCAGCAGUGGGGAAUAUUGCACAAUGGGCGAAAGCCUGAUGCAGCAACGCCGCGUGAGGGACGACGGCCUUCGGGUUGUAAACCUCUUUUAGCAGGGAAGAAGCGAAAGUGACGGUACCUGCAGAAAAAGCACCGGCUAACUACGUGCCAGCCGCCGCCGUAACAC